GCCUGGUGGCUCAGAUGGUAAAGCGUCUGCUUGUAAUGUGGGAGACCCAGGUUCGAUCCCUGGGUUGGGCA
rfam:Ovis aries breed Texel chromosome 16, whole genome shotgun sequence.